GCAGGGCUUGGUGGUGUACGCCUGUUAUCCACCUACUCGGAGGCUAGGUAUAGGUAAUGUUUUAAAGGUGGGGGUUCUGGGAUUGGAUUUCCCAAGUUGAUUAAACGUCCGCUAGGGGUAAACCUUCAACUUGGAUGCCUCGGGGGAGCCCGAAGUAGCCAGAUCGAGUCCAAAUAGAGGAAAAUUGAUACGAAAAUGAUAUAAUCGAGUUGAGAGUCGCGAGUUUAAAUCCUGGGAGUGGGAGUUUAAUUUUUACUCGUCGUGCAAGAGGAAACCUGAACCUAA
rnacentral:SRP_RNA from 1 species